rnacentral:rRNA from 1 species
UACGUAGGGUGCGAGCGUUAAUCGGAAUUACUGGGCGUAAAGCGUGCGCAGGCGGUUUUGCAAGACAGAUGUGAAAUCCCCGGGCUUAACCUGGGAACUGCAUUUGUGACUGCAAGGCUAGAGUACGGCAGAGGGGGGUAGAAUUCCACGUGUAGCAGUGAAAUGCGUAGAGAUGAGGAGGAACACCAGUGGCGAAGGCGGCCACCUGGACAGUAACUGACGCUGAGGCGCGAAAGCGUGGGUAGCAAACAGG